AGGAUUAUCGUAGCAGUUUGUUUGCUGCUUCCUGUUCUAGCCGGUAAGGAUUCGUGCUUUUUUUUUGCGGACUGCUGAUUUCUCAGGCUACCUUACGUUUCCAACUGUUUCCCCGUUGCUCCUGCUGGAUGUCCCCAAAAAUGUAGGAAAUAUCUGUUGAUAUGAUCAUGAUUCACUUUGAUGCAGCUGGCUACCAUAGGUUUUCGACUGUAGAAGAGGCCAACGCAGCGCUGCGGCGCGACCAUAUCGCCACCGGCAUCGGCCAUACGCUGGAGCAAAUGCAGCGGGGCCAGGGGAAUCUUGGAUUUAGCUCAUACUUUGGUUUUGUUUUUGCUUUCUACUCCAUGUCGGUCCUGGUCGUGGCUGGAGUGUGGGAUCACUUAACAGCAUUGUUUGGAGCAGUUGACGGCGAAUAUAUACUUGCAUUUACCACGAUGCUUGUUAUCUCCGGUUUUAUCGUGGCGACCAGCAUCCGCUUCAUGUUACAUGUCCGUUCUUGCCCACCCAAUAAUUAUUUUCCCCUUUUAUUUUCUUGUGGAUUUUUCUUCAUUAUAAGUACUUGCUUCCUUGUCUUAUCAGAGUCUAGCACCAUGAUCGCUGACACCACAAAGCGCCUCUGCAAUGUGUAAGGUCAGUGCAGGCACCAUUUCAGAUAUAUUGCCUCUGUUAAAACUAUCUUUAUGGAUUUCUCCCUCUGUCAACAAAUAUAAGACGUUCUAGAUCACUAUUCACAUUAUCCUGCUAGAUUGUGAAAAUACAUUAUCUCUGGAAAUAAACCCUUAUGUGAUAGAUUCCCUAUGUUUUAUGAGGAGGCAAGAGCUCUAGAGACCCAUAAACUUGCAAGGUAGGUGAUGCUUUAGUCCACAAACGUGCAAAAGGUGAUGAAGCCAUCCACAAACUUGCACUGCGCCGACAGAUGUAGUCCACAGCCAAUCAUAACCUGACAAUUGGCGCCAUGCUGGCCGCGUCGUGGCCCAACCGCUCGCCCUGGCACUUUUGUGAAAACCCCAUUCACCUUUCUGGAAAUCACGCGCGUGUACAUGAUAUUUGGUGUACAUACUAUUUUUCUGCAUGAACAUGAUAUUUGGAGUCUUCCUUUAGUGGAGUGCUAAUCUAGCCGUGCUUGAAGGACAUUAUGGUAUGUUUUGUUCGGACUUGGGAGUUGUCUGAAACUGUUGCCAUGUGGAUUUAUCAAGCUACUUGCACAUUUAUGUCCUGGAUUCAUAUAUAAUUUAAUUUAUCCAUUUUGUAACAUCUGCUGCCAGUAGAAAUUAGGGAAAACUUUGUUUUUGCCAACUUUUGCCCACUUUGCUUAUGCCACUCUAGAAUUUGACAUAUCACUUUUGCCACUCUCAACUUCUAACAAUUAUCACAAUUGCCAUUCCGUGGCAAAAGCAAAAUUUUCGGAGUGGCAAUUGUGAUACAUUGUCAAAAUCUAAGAGUGGCAAUCAAAAGUUAGGAGUGGCAAAAGUGAGAUGUCAAAUUCUAGAGUGGCAUGAGUAAAGUGGGCAAAAGCUAGAGUGGCAAAAACAAAGUUUUCCCUAGAAAUUACGGAAGCCAAAUCAAGUCUGUCAUCUCAUUUCACCUUUGCAGAGAAGAUGCUAAGUUUCUAACGUGUGAAUAAAAUUCAGGUAGUUCCUUACAAUAGUGUAUAAAAUCUUUAGUUCCUUGCACAUUAUAUUGUUUCAGGUUUUUCUUCUUGUUCUUGUUAUUGAUUAUUGGUCUGCCGCCUAACUUGCUCAUAAUUUCUGCUAAUUCAGCCUGCGGUGCGCUGCGAUACCUGGAUGUCGAUGCACAGUAGAGAAAGAUCAGAGCGGGAGUCCCGACAGUUCAAUUGUUCAUACGUUCCUCUUCCUUGGAUAGAUACAGAUUCAGAAAACGCAGCAGCUGUAGAACUACUGAAAGCCUUGCGACCAAUGGCUGAACAAUUUUGUAGUGAUGCUGGAAUGUAGUAGCUCUUCUGACAUUCAUCGUGUGAUGUGAUUGCCACGGCUUCGUAGACAAAGCGUUUCACUGUAGGGCACUUGCAAUGAGUUGAUGGUCCUGCAAUUUGUUUGGAUCAUACAUUUCACGUACUGGAAAAUACAUUAGUUUUUGCAAUGAGCUGAUACUCCUUCAUUCCUUUUAGAAAUGCAGAAUGCAGUGGGUUCUUCCUGUGAGCUAUUGAUCAUGUUUUUCGUUUUGCUGUUUUGUGUGUUUUUAGAAUCUUUAACUCCUGGCUUUAAAGCAAAAAAGGCCUUAUGAUAGAAUAGUACAAAGUUUCAAAAAUAAAUAGCCUGAAUCCUUGCGAAAUCUGUCGAACACCUAGUGCGAAAAGUCACAUUGCACUGUUUAUGUUGUCGGUCUUCUGGUGUCUUUUUAGAAAAUGGUAGGGUCAUGCAGUCUAUAAGCAGGUUUUUCCGCAGGUGUCAGAUGUCACACAGUUGAUUACCAUGAUUGCGAGGCAGAGCUUGUUCCUGUCCUGUACAUAGGUCAGUGCAGUUCCCAUUUCGGGAGGAAUCGGGUGGCGAUGGCUUACGGUCGUCAUGACUCUGGUUGAGGUACUCUUCUGGUAGAUAUUUUUUUGUUAGCUCUGAUUCUUGGGUCGGCUUACAUGGGAUUGCAUCGCAGGUCUGUUGCUGCCGUCGAUUCUUCCUCAUGUGGAAUUGUGCCUGGACUAUGCUAGCGUUCUUCUUUCAGCGGCUGCGCCAUUGAUGUUCCUACUGGGUGAGUUUCUUCUUCACUUAGGUUUUUGUCUUGCUUAAUUGCUUAAUUAUUCGUGCACAAUUCAUGCUAAAUGGUGCUCUACCUUGCCGUCAAGGUGUUCAUGUGUGCCUAGGUUUAUGCAGAUGCUAGGAUCUAGAUGGACUCAUACAGAGAAAUUCUCUGUUGUCCUUUAGUUUGUUGGGUGCCUUGGCUAAGUUCCUGGGAAGUGUUUUUUGGUUUGUUCCUGUCAAAUAGGUGCUUGGAUCUGCCUAGAUUCGUAGGAGGUUUUUGUUACCUUCCUUAAUCUGCUAGGUGCCUUCCUUUUUUAUGUAGGAACUUUUACAUUUGUGUCCCUAACUCGAACCCACUACUCAGAUUUGCCCCUAAUUACGAAGCAUGCUCAAAUUUACCCCUAUGCUGUUAGGUGACCUUAUAGAAAUGCCCUUAUGUGCCGUUUCCGUCCGGUCAAAGGCCUUUGACCGUCUAUCGGACGUUUCCUGGACAAUUUUGCCCCUCCUUACGGCUGGGCCCUGUGACUAAAAAAGUCUCUCUCACGGUCUCACCUCUCUUCUGUAUCACUUACAUGUGGGCCCAAAAAAAGAAAAUGAAAAAAACUCUCUCCCACCUCUCUCUAACUUACACGUGGGCCCUAACAAAAAAAUAAAACAAACAAACAAACAACAACAACAACAACAACAACAAAGCCUUUAGUCCCAAACAAGUUGGGGUAGGCUAGAGGUGAAACCCAUAAGAUCUCGUGACCAACUCAUGGCUCUGGCACAUGGAUAGCAAGCUUCCACGCACCCCUGUCCAUAGCUAGUUCUUUGGUGAUAUAACAAAAAAAUAAAACAAAAGAAAAAAAAAUAUCUCUCUUUCUCUCACGACCUCACGUCUCUCUGACCUCCGGCGAACCGUAUGCAGCGGCCCAGUCCUCGCGCUGCCGCUUCCCUAGCUCGCCACGCUCCGCCACCAGCUCGCAUGCUCCGCUGCCAGCUCGCUGCACUUAGCCGCCCUCUGUCUCUCUCGCGCCAGAGAACGGCAUAAGCAACCAAUCGUCGGCGUUGACUCGCGCACGCGCGGCGAAUGACAGCGCAAAGCCCCAAUAACAUGUCCGGUAGCCCCACCGCUCUCUGAUUUGUUUUCCUGUGCGAUUAAUUGGAUUGAAGCGCCUCGUAGUGACGGAUCCUUCCUAGUCUUCCCUGGCACCGGUGUCACGUCGCCGCUGCCCGAUCUCCUCCACCCAUGAACACCGCCGACUUGCCUCGGGUUCUUCAGCUCCGAAAUCACCUCCUGAACAUCCUGGCGCACUCCUGAUUAUCCCUGCUCCCCCUAGCCCCUCUAUCAGCGAGCGCCGCCCAUCGCCGCCGCUCAACCUCGCUGCUGCCCGUCCUCCCGAUCACCCCACAUUCUCCGGCCACCUCAUGCCACUGAAGCUUCUCUCCCGCAUCCUCGCAAGCCUGCUCUUGCAGCCACUCGACUGCUCCGGCAUCCUCCCAUACGUCGCCAUUGUGUCUCUGUGCGCGGUCGCCGGCGUGUUUAAUUAGUUCUUAAUUAACACCCGUUUUACAGAAGCUGACCAGUGGGUUCACCCCUCAAACAAUUCAGCAAAUAACAUUUUCAGAAAAUAAUAGAACAAUGACAUGUGGGCCCUAUAUUUUAGAUAAUAAUAAUAAGACAAUGACAUGUUGGCCCUAUAUCGAGUUCUCCUUUUCUUUUUAUUGGGGCCCGCAUGUAAGUGUGUGAGAGAUAGGUCACUUAACGGGCAGAGGAGCAAAUUUGAGCAUGCUUCAAAUUUAGGGGUAAAUCUGAGUAGUGGGUUCGAGUUAGAGACACAAAUGUAAAAGUCCCUUUUAUGUAUCCAGGAGAGAGAUAGAUUUGUCUUUGGCUCGAUUUGGCUUCUGCAAAAGGGAUCUUGUUUGCUGCUGUCCAGAAGAUGCUGAGUCUAGCUAGAUUUGUAGGGGAUUUUGUUGCCUUGUUUGUUUUGUUGGGUACAUGUGUCCUUUUCUCUGUGCAAGAAAAGUUUUGUUUCUUUGGUUGGUGUGUUUGGCAGAUCAGUGUGGGACUUUGGGUGGGAGCAGUUGUCUGCAUAUAGUGUUCUUGCAUCUUAUUAGUGUGUGUUGUGCCGGGUGGUCAGGCUCUAUCUUUGGUUUUGUGAGAGGAGGUUUAAUCCAGGCUUUCUGUAUUUUUGUAUAGUUCUCGGUUGUAUGGAUGUGUUUAUUCCUUUGAUGGUCAUGAAUAUGGGAGGCACACGUUUUUGUUUGUCUUGCUUUUUGGUUAUAAAUUAUUUUUGUUUUGGUCUGUACAGGAUGCGAAUUUAUUAGUGUUGGUUUAGAGUAAAGGCUAAACCAUGCUGGUUCUGGUGAUGUGUUCUUUGAUGCUUCUGUAGGUGGAUAGAGAGUGCAUAUUGUAAAUUUCUCCAUGCUCUGUGGGUAAACACAUGAAGUUUUUUCUAGCACAUUCCUCUGAUCACCAGCUAUGUCAUGAAGCAUGUAUUUUAGUGUUCAAGCUAUAUUGCAAGGCGUGUUUCUAUCUAGGGUUGCUAUAUUUGGUGAAUGGAAUGGUGAUAUACCAGGUUUUUUCAGAAGGAAAUAUGCAUACAGUGUUAAAUGUAAUUAUAUUUCGUCUCACUGUAAAACAGUGAGAGUUGUACAUACAUUUUUCAGCAUUACAGAGUUUUAUAAUGGUGACUCUUCUAUGCUCACUCUUCCUUGUGUGUUUGCUCUGCAAAUAGACUAGAUUAUCUUCCCAUGCAUUGGGAAAAUAGUGAAUUACUUGCUGCUUAUACUUGGGUGAUGUUUAGGUCCAGAUGUGGAUCUCUUCGUCCAUAAAAAAACAGACUGUUUGCCAUAGCCUCAUUACUACUAUCAAGCCCUGACUGUUCUCCAUAGCCUCAUUACUACUAUCAAGCCCUAAGUGUAUGUUUAGAUGCAUUUGUAGUUUUCCCCAAUGGAAGAUCCAUGAGGUUGUAGGUUUGUUUUCUUUCAGAUUUUUAUGCAGUUAUUUGGUCGGUGCAAAUAUUUAGUUUGCAGUAUAAUUGAAUUGUCUCUGGAUGUUGCUAAUUUUGUAUGAGCUGUAGGUGACCUGUUCUUUCUAUUUUUUAUAGAGAAUAUUUUCUUUCUAAUAUUUAGUUUUCUUGCAGGAUUAGUGAUGCUUUCACUCUUCUGUCAGAUUAACAUUUUUCUUUGACCUUUGUUGCACCUUUGAUUGUAAUCAACAUCGAAUGGUUGUUUGGCUGUGCUUUGCAUUAUUAAUUUAUUAUAUAUGGUAUAUGCUGCUGCUACUUAAUUAUACUUCUAUGUGAUCAUGCAAUUGCAUUCAUUUUUAGUGUUCUCUGGUGAUGGAAAAGCGCCAACUUAUAUCAAGCUAAGAGGAAGAAAAAUACGAGGCAGCUGAACAUGCUACCCUUGACAUAAAUAAUUUAAAGGCCUAAGUGGGAAAUUGGAUUAGGAUGACUAAUCUUACCUGACUAGCGUAGCUCAUGUCAAGUGUUAUUGCUGAUUAUUACUUCUCACAUGAACCAAAUAAAAAUUACUUCUCAUGGAAAUUUUAUACCUUGGUCUUUAGUGGCCUAAAAUUAACUUUUUGAUUCAAAUUAUGGACACCAUUUUGAAGUGGCCUGAUUCACAAGGGGUGUACUUUCAUAACAAGAUGGAUUGAUGUUUUCGUAUAACUACAAUAUCUGUACAAGCUAUGGUGGUGGCCUCCUUUUGUCAUAGAUAGUUGAAUACGCUGCUUGGGCGGUGCAAACUGGAACUUGUAGGUGUACUGGAACUACCAUUAAGUCAUAAAAAUUCGCUCAUUCAGUUAGUUUACAAAUCUAGAGAUCAUAUUUUCUGUUUAGAAAAUUGUACUUCUAUUUUUAUUUAUAGGGGACGGUUCCAGCUGAUAUUUUUUUCUGGGUUGUGGUGAAAUACUUUUGUUUUUUGGAAACCAUGCAUGUGCUCUAACUCAAGUGAGGGUGUAAGCAAGCAUGGUUCUGGAGCAUUUUGGCAUUCAGUUCAACUCAACUCUAGGCAAUAGUUGCCAUUUAGUUUAGUUCAGGUUCAGUUUUGUGUUUCUGAUGUUUGAUCCUGCUGUUGUUUCUUUUUUGCAGGCUGCCUGUUCUGUUGACUCUGCCAUUGUCAGGUAUGCUGCUUUCCACAUGUCUUGCUGUGGGUGUGUAUAUGUUCCUUCGUCCAAUACCUCUUUAACGCGAUUUUUCCCCACAAAAUACAUGUCUUUUGUCAAGGAGAAGCUUAGGUCUGGUUAGGUUCUUGAGGUCAUGCGUAGUUAGAUGAUGAACUGCAGCAUGCUUUGCUGCCUUACUGUGGGUCUGAUGUUUUUUGAGAGAAAGUAUGUGUCUGCUUUCUAAGCUGUGAGCAUUGGGGUGGUUUGGAUGUCUUUUUCCAAAUGGCUUGGGCUUGGUGAUUUGCCAAGCUCUGGAUAUGCUUUUCAGAGUUCAUGUUUAUGUUGCUGUGUGCUGGUGGACUAGGUGAGACACUGGCAACCAUUUGUGCUCUUGAUGGUUAGUGUGAGGAUUUUAUUUGCUACUCUUGAAUGAGUCAAUUGAUCUGGUGAAAGAUUAGCUAACAGGUUAGUUACGAGGUCUUUUAAUUGCUGCUUUUGGAUGAGUGGAGUGAUCUGGUGAAAGAUUAGCAACAGGUUAAGUGUGAUGUAAUGAACCUGUGCUUCCUGCUGCUGCUGCCGGACAAUCAGGAGCAGUGUUGUGUAGCCUAUUCAGGAUUUUGUGCUUCUUGGUUGCAGGUGCCUGGGAGGUUGUGGAGCUCAUGCUCUUGCAAUCAGAUUUACCUUUUUUAUGUUCAGUUUUGAAAUGGAUCUUCCUUUGAUGUUUGCCUAGGUUUUGUUCCCUUAUAGUGCAUUGUAAAAUGUAUCUUCUGCUCGUGUUUGGUAUGCUCUUGUGGUUAUGUUUUUUUUUCUAGACUCUGUUAUAGAAUGAAGCUUCUAUGAAUGUUUACCUGGAAUUUAUGCUCUGUACAGUUUUGGUUAGUUCCGUGUUUCUGGUGUUUGAUCCGAUUGUUGGUUUGAUUCUACAGGCCUUGUCUUCGACUUCCCGAGUCCGUUCUGUUGCCAGCUUUGUUGACUCACGACUAUUGCCAGGUAGGAUAUGUGUGUGUGUAUUACACUGUCAGCUGUGGCUUCUCUGUUCGCAGUUAGGGGCCUUGACGUGUAGCUUUUAGUUUCCUUCAUUGCUCGUGCAUUUGUUUGUUUUAUUCCUUGGGUUGUAUCUGUAUUUGGUGCCUAGCUAUUGUAUAACCGGCGAUGCCAUGAAAUAAAUGAUGAAUUGUUUAUAGUUGUGUCAGAUAUUUACUUUCCCUUAUUUAAUCUAUGUUGUUUCUAUGGUCUGAUAUGCAUAUGUUUUUGUUGUUCCUUUGCUUGCGAACAUAUUAUUGUACAGUCCCUUUCGUGUAUAUGCGUGCUGUGGCGAAUAGCAC
rnacentral:lncRNA from 1 species